CGUCAACGCAGGGAGGAUCCUAUGGGACUUACACAUUCGUUGAAUGUCCUCAUGAUCAGUGCAGCGUUCGCAUUCGUGGCCAUCAUGCUCUUCGUCUGACGAAAGGCCGCUGAAGUCCAG
rnacentral:ncRNA from 1 species